GAUGAACGCUGGCGGCGUGCCUAAUACAUGCAAGUCGAGCGAACAGACGAGGAGCUUGCUCCUCUGACGUUAGCGGCGGACGGGUGAGUAACACGUGGAUAACCUACCUAUAAGACUGGGAUAACUUCGGGAAACCGGAGCUAAUACCGGAUAAUAUAUUGAACCGCAUGGUUCAAUAGUGAAAGACGGUUUUGCUGUCACUUAUAGAUGGAUCCGCGCCGCAUUAGCUAGUUGGUAAGGUAACGGCUUACCAAGGCAACGAUGCGUAGCCGACCUGAGAGGGUGAUCGGCCACACUGGAACUGAGACACGGUCCAGACUCCUACGGGAGGCAGCAGUAGGGAAUCUUCCGCAAUGGGCGAAAGCCUGACGGAGCAACGCCGCGUGAGUGAUGAAGGUCUUCGGAUCGUAAAACUCUGUUAUUAGGGAAGAACAAAUGUGUAAGUAACUAUGCACGUCUUGACGGUACCUAAUCAGAAAGCCACGGCUAACCACGUGC
rnacentral:rRNA from 1 species